rnacentral:misc_RNA from 1 species
GAUGAAGAACGUAGCGAAAUGCGAUACGUAAUGUGAAUUGCAGAAUUCAGUGAAUCAUCGAAUCUUUGAACGCAUAUUGCGCUCUCUGGUAUUCCGGAGAGCAUGCUUGUUUGAGUAUCAGUAAACACCUCAACUCCCCUUUCUUUUUUGAAAUGGGAGCUGGACUUGAGUGAUCCCAACGCUUUUCUCACCGAAAAGUGGCGGGUUACUUGAAAUGCAGGUGCAGCUGGACUUUUCUCUGAGCUAAAAGCAUAUCUAUUUAGUCUGCCUAAAAACAGAUUAUUACCUUUGCUGCAGCUAACAUAAAGGAGAUUAGUUCUUGUGCUGACUGAUGCAGGAUUCACAGAGACAGCUUCGGCUGGCCUUUGUAAACUCGAUCUCAAAUCAAGUAAGACUACCCGCUGAACUUAAGCAUAUCAAUAAGCGGAGGA